AUUGAACGCUGGCGGCAGGCCUAACACAUGCAAGUCGAACGAGUGGCGGACGGGUGAGUAAUGUCUGAGAAACUGCCAGAUGGAGGGGGAUCACUACUGGAAACGGUAGCUAAUACCGCAUACCAUCAGAUGUGCCCAGAUGGGAUGAGCUAGUGGGUGGGGUAAAGGCUCACCAAGGCGACGAUCCCUAGCUGGUCUGAGAGGAUGACCAGCCAAACUGGAACUGAGACACGGUCCAGACUCCUACGGGAGGCAGCAGUGGGGAAUAUUGCACAAUGGGCGCAAGCCUGAUGCAGCCAUGCCGCGUGUAUGAAGAAGGCCUUCGGGUUGUAAAGUACUUUCAGCGGGGAGGCGUUACCCGCAGAAGAAGCACCGGCUAACUCCGUGCCAGCAGCCGCGGUAAUUC
rnacentral:rRNA from 1 species